rnacentral:rRNA from 1 species
UCAGUUCGGAUUGUAGUCUGCAACUCGACUACAUGAAGCUGGAAUCGCUAGUAAUCGCGAAUCAGAAUGUCGCGGUGAAUACGUUCCCGGGUCUUGUACACACCGCCCGUCACACCAUGGGAGCCGGGAAUGCCCGAAGUCCGUAGCCUAACCGCAAGGAGGGCGCGGCCGAAGGUAGGACUGGUAAUUAGGGUGAAGUCGUAACAAGGUAUC